GAUGAAGAGCGCAGCGAAAUGCGAUAAGUAAUGUGAAUUGCAGAAUUCAGUGAAUCAUCGAAUCUUUGAACGCACAUUGCGCCCUCUGGUAUUCCGGGGGGCAUGCCUGUUCGAGCGUCAUUAUAACCACUCAAGCUCUCGCUUGGUAUUGGGGUUCGCGGUUCCGCGGCCCCUAAAAUCAGUGGCGGUGCCUGUCGGCUCUACGCGUAGUAAUACUCCUCGCGAUUGAGUCCGGUAGGUCUACUUGCCAGCAACCCCCAAUUUUUACAGGUUGACCUCGGAUCAGGUAGGGAUACCCGCUGAACUUAAGCAUAUCAAUAAGCGGAGGA
rnacentral:misc_RNA from 1 species